GUGUCAGCCGCCGCGGUAAUACGAAGGGGGCUAGCGUUGUUCGGAAUUACUGGGCGUAAAGCGCACGUAGGCUGACUUUUAAGUCAGGGGUGAAGUCCCGGGGCUUAACCUCGGAACUGCCUUUGAUACUGCCAGUCUCGAGUCCGGAAGAGGUGAGUGGAAUUCCUAGUGUAGAGGUGAAAUUCGUAGAUAUUAGGAAGAACACCGGUGGCGAAGGCGGCUCACUGGUCCGGUACUGACGCUGAGGCGCGAAAGCGUGGGGAGCAAACAGGAUUAGAUACCCUGGUAGUCCACGCCGUAAACGAUGGAUGCUAGCCGUUGGACAGCAUGCUGUUCAGUGGCGCAGCUAACGCAUUAAGCAUCCCGCCUGGGGAGUACGGCCGCAAGGUUAAAACUUAAAUGAAUUGACGGGG
rnacentral:rRNA from 1 species